AUGCAGUCGAACGCGAAGCCUGAUUUCGGUUAGGCGGAGAGUGGCGCACGGGUGAGUAACACAUGGCUGACCUGCCCUCCAGCGGGGGACAACCACUGGAAACGGUGGCUAAUACCCCAUAUGCUCACGGUAUUUAGAAGGCUGUGAGGAAAGCUGAGGCGCUGGAGGAGGGGGCUGUGGCCCAUCAGCUAGUUGGUAGGGUAACGGCCUACCAAGGCGACGACGGGUAGGGGGCCUGAGAGGGUGACCCCCCACACGGGCACUGAGACACGGGCCCGACUCCUACGGGAGGCAGCAGUAAGGGAUAUUGCGACAAUGGGCGAAAGCCUGACGCAGCAACGCCGCGUGCGGGAUGACGGCCUUCGGGUUGUAAACCGCUUUUCGGGGGGAAGAGGAAGGACGGUACCCCCGGAAUAAGUCUCGGCUAACUACGUGCCAGCAGCCGCGGUAAAACGUAGGAGGGGAGCGUUAUCCGGAUUUACUGGGUGUAAAGCGCGUGCAGGCGGUCUUGUAAGUCGUGCGUGAAAGCGCCCGGCUCAACCGGGCGAGGUCGUGCGAAACUGCGAGGCUAGAGGCAGGUAGAGGCGUGCAGAAUUCCGGGUGUAGUGGUGAAAUGCGUAGAUAUCCGGAGGAAUACCAGUGGCGAAGGCGGCGCGCUGGGCCUGACCUGACGCUAAGACGCGAAAGCAUGGGUAGCGAACGGGAUUAGAAACCCCGGUAGUCCAUGCCGUAAACGAUGCGUACUAGGUGUUGCGGACGUUAAGUCGGCAGUGCCGAAGC
rnacentral:rRNA from 1 species